CGGGCGCCGCCGUCUACGUCUUCUCCGAGUUCAACCGGUAUCUCUUCAACUGCGGUGAGGGCACGCAGCGGGCCAUGCAGGAGCACAAGCUGAAGAUCUCCCACCUGGACAGCAUCUUCCUCAGCCGA